rnacentral:rRNA from 1 species
AUUGAACGCUGGCGGCAUACUUUACACAUGCAAGUCGAACGGCAGCACAGCAGAGGUAACUCUGUGGGUGGCGAGUGGCGAACGGGUGAGUAAUACAUCGGAACGUACCCUGUUGUGGGGGAUAACUACGCGAAAGCGUAGCUAAUACCGCAUACGCCCUGAGGGGGGAAAGCGGGGGGACCCUAAAUAGAGCGCACUGGGGAGUGCGUUGUAUUUAGGGCCUCGCGCAAUAGGAGCGGCCGAUGUCGGAUUAGCUAGUUGGUGAGGUAAAGGCUUACCAAGGCGACGAUCCGUAGCUGGUCUGAGAGGAUGAUCAGCCACACUGGGACUGAGACACGGCCCAGACUCCUACGGGAGGCAGCAGUGGGGAAUUUUGGAC